CGGCAGGCCUAACACAUGCAAGUCGAGCGGAAACGAGUUAUCUGAACCUUCGGGGGACGAUAACGGCGUCGAGCGGCGGACGGGUGAGUAAUGCCUAGGAAAUUGCCCUGAUGUGGGGGAUAACCAUUGGAAACGAUGGCUAAUACCGCAUGAUGCCUACGGGCCAAAGAGGGGGACCUUCGGGCCUCUCGCGUCAGGAUAUGCCUAGGUGGGAUUAGCUAGUUGGUGAGGUAAGGGCUCACCAAGGCGACGAUCCCUAGCUGGUCUGAGAGGAUGAUCAGCCACACUGGAACUGAGACACGGUCCAGACUCCUACGGGAGGCAGCAGUGGGGAAUAUUGCACAAUGGGCGCAAGCCUGAUGCAGCCAUGCCGCGUGUGUGAAGAAGGCCUUCGGGUUGUAAAGCACUUUCAGUCGUGAGGAAGGUAGUGUAGUUAAUAGCUGCAUUAUUUGACGUUAGCGACAGAAGAAGCACCGGCUAACUCCGUGCCAGCAGCCGCGGUAAUACGGAGGGUGCGAGCGUUAAUCGGAAUUACUGGGCGUAAAGCGCAUGCAGGUGGUUUGUUAAGUCAGAUGUGAAAGCCCGGGGCUCAACCUCGGAAUAGCAUUUGAAACUGGCAGACUAGAGUACUGUAGAGGGGGGUAGAAUUUCAGGUGUAGCGGUGAAAUGCGUAGAGAUCUGAAGGAAUACCGGUGGCGAAGGCGGCCCCCUGGACAGAUACUGACACUCAGAUGCGAAAGCGUGGGGAGCAAACAGGAUUAGAUACCCUGGUAGUCCACGCCGUAAACGAUGUCUACUUGGAGGUUGUGGCCUUGAGCCGUGGCUUUCGGAGCUAACGCGUUAAGUAGACCGCCUGGGGAGUACGGUCGCAAGAUUAAAACUCAAAUGAAUUGACGGGGGCCCGCACAAGCGGUGGAGCAUGUGGUUUAAUUCGAUGCAACGCGAAGAACCUUACCUACUCUUGACAUCCAGAGAACUUUCCAGAGAUGGAUUGGUGCCUUCGGGAACUCUGAGACAGGUGCUGCAUGGCUGUCGUCAGCUCGUGUUGUGAAAUGUUGGGUUAAGUCCCGCAACGAGCGCAACCCUUAUCCUUGUUUGCCAGCGAGUAAUGUCGGGAACUCCAGGGAGACUGCCGGUGAUAAACCGGAGGAAGGUGGGGACGACGUCAAGUCAUCAUGGCCCUUACGAGUAGGGCUACACACGUGCUACAAUGGCGCAUACAGAGGGCGGCCAACUUGCGAAAGUGAGCGAAUCCCAAAAAGUGCGUCGUAGUCCGGAUUGGAGUCUGCAACUCGACUCCAUGAAGUCGGAAUCGCUAGUAAUCGUGGAUCAGAAUGCCACGGUGAAUACGUUCCCGGGCCUUGUACACACCGCCCGUCACACCAUGGGAGUGGGCUGCAAAAGAAGUAGGUAGUUUAACCUUCGGGGGGACGCUUACCACUUUGUGGU
rnacentral:rRNA from 1 species